rnacentral:rRNA from 1 species
UACGAACCGUCCAAACGUUAUUCGGAAUCAUUGGGCUUAAAGGGUACGUAGGCGGUGCCGUAAGUCGGGUGUGAAAUCCCUCGGCUCAACCGAGGAACUGCGCCCGAUACUGCGGUGCUUGAGGGAGACAGGGGUGAGCGGAACUGAUGGUGGAGCGGUGAAAUGCGUUGAUAUCAUCAGGAACACCAGUGGCGAAAGCGGCUCGCUGGGUCUCUUCUGACGCUGAGGUACGAAAGCUAGGGUAGCGAACGGGAUUAGAAACCCCGGUAGUCC